AGCUCCAAUAGCGUAUAUUAAAGUUGUUGCAGUUAAAAAGCUCGUAGUUGGACCUUGGGCGUUGGGGGAUGGUUGGCCGAUGGCUGGACUGUUCUCUGGGCCUUUUUGGGGGCAAGUGUUUAACAACACCCCGCCCCCACGUUACUGUGAAGAAAUUAGAGUGUUUAAAGCAGGCAUCCGCUUGAAUACGUCAGCAUGGAAUAACAGGAUAGGACCUCGGUUCUACUUGUUGGUUUGAGAGCAUUGGUAAUGAUUAAUAGGGCCAGUUGGGGGCAUUAGUAUUCAGUAGUCAGAGGUGAAAUUCUUGGAUUUACAGAAGACUAACUAGAGCGAAAGCAUUUGCCAAGGAUGUUUUCA
rnacentral:rRNA from 1 species